GGGAAAAGGCCGAAAAACAAACAAAUAUUAAUUAGGCCUAUUUCCGUAAUAAUUAUGCUAUUUUUUGUUUACUUUCUACUCGGGUUAUAUUUGCAAAACUGAAUAGUUUAUUCAGUAAAUGGUGUUUUUUAAUGAAUGGUUGAUUUUUUUUUUAUUAAAAUGCUUAUGAUUUGAACCCAGAUGUCCAGUUAGAAAAGUUAAACUGCAUUAUGAUCAGGGAUGUGACCUCCAGAAUCUCAAUUUUGUCACUCCCAUUAAUGCAUAUACGUUAUUAAAAUGGAUUGAAGAUCUUGUCUUGGCAAUAAAGUUAAUUUGUACGUAAAGUCUGAUCAGCAUGAUAUUAACAGUUGUACAUCAAAUAUUGCAUUUAUUAGCCCAAUGGGCUAUAACGCAACAUUGAUUAUUUCUCGGCUUUGAAAAUCGGUGGCCCCAGGUGUCGGGCGACGGUAAUUACAUGUACACACCCCUGAAUGAUUCCUCCUAUGUUAGACGCCUUGCAAACUUGUAUAUAGGACGGCCAAUGGUAUCUCGUAAUUAUUUACAAUUUUAUAUCUUUUUCAGAAUAUAUUUCAUGAUAGUUGUGAAGAUACAGAAGUUGUGAUGGUGUGUUGAUAGGCUGUCUUCAACUUGCCAUAUCUGAGAGUUCCAACAUGCAGGCCUGGAUUAAUGUGUAUAAAUCACUAAUGAAGUUACUUAGUGUUAUUUAGUUUUUAAAAAAAAUGACAUUUCAAUUUAUACACACUUGCCAAGUGAAUCUGAUGAGACGGCAACAUGUAUUUGUGAGUAAAGGCACUCUGUCUUAACCGAAAAACUAUUUACAGUUUAUCACAACAAAUGGAUGGGACAAUAGAGUUGUUGCGGACAAUAUGUGAUUGUGAUGACCAAGUACUGAACAAGUGGAAGAUUAGAAGAAGGUCCAGAAUUCAAUCAUGUUUUUGAUUCUAAGGCGCAGACAGCAUGGAGAUAGUCCUAUUAUUCUCUUAUUCAUCUAUGAUGGAGAAACUUGUGUAAAUGUUUACAGUGUUCUCCCUAAUAAGUGCUCACAAGUCUGUAUUAAUUUAUCAGAAUAUAAAGUCCUUCACAGUACUGACUUUAAAAUUCAUGUAGAUUGUCUCCAGAUUUUUCUGAGGAAAAGUGCAUAGUUUACAUGUGUGAAUUUUGAAUAUAUUUCAUUCUUGUCUGCAAAUGUUGCCGAAACCUGUUAUUGAUGCACAAUGCACAUAGUCAUGUUAUGCAAAUGAUAGACCUCCUUUUUAAUUACAUGUCCUUAAGAUCAUGUCAACUCCUUUGUCUUAAUUGUAUAUACAAUUCUAGCAUUUAUAGCAUCAUUUGUAUAGCACUUGCUAGUUUGAUAAGGAUUUUAUUUUUUAAAAAACUUUCAUUUGACAUGAUUGAUCUAAAACGGCCAAAAUUCACAAAUCUAUUUAAAUCACAACCUGACCUUAGGCCAGAAAAGUGCCACAGUGGGUUGAUAUUUUUCUCUUGGAUCUUGAAAGAAAUUCUUUAUGCAGCAGUUUCCAAAUAAAAUGUACUCUCAUGGCCAGGGUGGGACUUCACCGAGAACUUUUUAACAUUGCACAAUGCAAUAUUUGUGGAUUAGAAGCUGUUGUAGUUUCUUUUAAGUUUUCUCUCACAUCUUGUUAUAAUUAUAUUUUAUAUUUUUGGUCGGGUUGCACAAUGUGCAAACAGUUUAUAAAAUGGUGAAUGACUGGUGGGCAAGCGACGAUAGCGUCCCUGUAAUAGUACCUACUUUGUGUAAUCAACUCCUUUCACACCUCUCACUUGAUGUUCCUCAAACUUUGUACAGUUGUUAGGGAUACAUUGAAGAUGUGCGUGUACCUUUUUGAAAGUGAUCAGACAUUUUUUGAAAAAUUUACAUGUAGUUAAACUUCGUCAUUUUUUAAGCAUUUCUUUAAUUGACAGUACCUAUUUUGUGUAAUAAACUCCUCGUAUACCUCUAAUCUGACAUUCCUCAAAUUGUGUACAGUUGUUAUGAAUACAUUGAAGAUGUGCAUAUGUGUUUUUGAAAGUGAUCAGACAUUUUAAAAAAAAAAUGUACAUGUAGUUGAACUUAAGUCAUUUAAAAGCAUUUCUUGAAUAGAUGGUAACUAUUUUGUGUAAUCAAAUCCUCAUGCACCUCUAACUUGACAUUCCUUAAACUUUGUACAGUUGUUAUGAACACAUUGAAGAUGUGCAUGCGUCUUUUUGAAAAUGAUUAGACUUUUUUUUUUAAAAUUACGUGUAGUUGAACUUGGGUCAUUUUUUAUGCAUUUCUUGAAUAGAUGGUACCUAUUUUGUGUGAUCAACUCUUGCACAUCUAAAUUGAUAUUCCUCAAACUUUGUACAGUAGUUAUGGACACACUGAAGAUGUGCAUGUGUCUUUUUGAAAGUGAUCAGACUUUUUAAAAAAAAAAUUACAUUUAGUUGAACUUUGUCAUUUUUUUAAAGCAUUUCCUGAAUAGAUGGUACCUAUUUUUUGUAAUCAACUCCUCUUACAGCAUUUAUUUGACAUUCUUCAGACCUUAAACAGCUGUUAUGGAAGCAUUGGAAAUGUGCAUGUGUCUUUUCGGAAGUGAUCAGGCAUUCUUUGAAAAAUUUACAUGUGCAUGGUGAAGUUGAACUUAGUCAUUUUUUAAACAUGGUACUUUAUGUAACCAGCUCAGCUUUUACUUAACAUUUUCCAGACCCUGUACAUUAUAGAUGAUAUAAAAACAUUGAAGAUACAUGUUAACAUUUUAUAAAUGCUUCUCUUUUUUUUUUUUUUUUUUUUUUUGUUGUUGAAAAAUUCUACCUUUAAUUUGUCAUUUUUCCAGUAUGUUUCUACUGUUGUUCCUAUGAUAGAUAACAUAUUUUACAAGAACCUGGUCAUUUCUGUUUUUGAAUCUCUUUUUUUUUUAUUAGUAUUUUUGAAUAUAUGUUAAUUACUUGAUAUGUCAUUGUUCUUGAAAUUAUAUUAAUUGAAUUAUUAUUGUGUUUUUGUUUUGUAAUAUGACAGUUUAUAUAGGAUCCCUUAAUUUCGAGCAGACAGUGUCAGAAGUGUGCUGCAAGUUUGCUGCAAACUGUGUGCCAGAAGUGUGCAGCAAGAGUGUGCCGCAAGUUUGCCGCAAACUGUGUGCCAGAGGAAAAAUUUGCAUACGAAAAGUAUACUUGCGGCAAAUAUGCCGCACACUGUGUGCCAGAAGUGUGCAGCAAGUGUGUGCCGCAAGUUUGCUGUAAACUGUGUGCCAGAGGAAAAAUUUGCAUACGAAAAGUAUACUUGCGGCAAAUGUGCCGCAACUAGUUGCGGCAAACUUGCCGCAAAUGCGCUGCAAAUUUGCAGCAACUGUGUGCCAGAGGGCUUAUAUUUUGGUAAGGGGUUUAAUCGACAAAAUAUUAAGUCAAAUAUAUACAAUAAAUCCUAAAGGCUUAAAUUCCACUACAUCAAUAUAUCCAGAUUAAUCCGAUGAACUACAUUAACUCAAAAUUUAUUUGUACAGAAUUUCAAACCUUCGCUUCUACCCGAAAAUAUUGAAAAGGAAGUAGAAGUUUAUACCAAACUCCGUACAGCGUCAAAUUCUUCGGGACUACUUUCCCCUACGAAUAAUGACACUGCCACAGGCUUUCCAAACUUCUGCAGAAAAACGCAAGUUACUAUACGCGUGUGAUUCGGUUUUCUAUAAUACCAGAUAGGGUGGUCACGUAAGGUUUAUUUAUUCCAGAAUUAGUAGAAAUAAAUUCUUCUACACUCUGUGUAACGUUUAGACUGAUUAAAAAUUGAAACUACUGGCCUUGACAUUGGACUAUAAUUUUGAGCGGAGCGUCAUCGACGUAGUGAUGAUGAUGUCGAGGCGUCUGUGGAAACAGGAGGAAGAUUUUAUCGUAUCAGGGCCACACCUUUGCGUAUUGCUGUCAUAUUUGAGAGGGAAUCCAGCCAAGAAAGACAGCUACACCAGGGACUUCUUUACAGAUGGAUAAGUUGUCCAGAAAAAGCGAGAACAUUCAAACAACCAGGAAUUGCAUCAUCGCAAUCACAAACCAUGAUUUUGAGUCCACACCAGCUUCCGCAAUCUGACAAAGGAGAUAAUUUGUGGGAAGGAUCCAUGGGUAACCGACGACGAGGAAUUACAAGAUGUGAAGGAUUUCCACCAUGCAAUUUGAAUUAAACUAAUUUGAAUGAUGUACUAGUACUUGUCUUUAACACAUGUACAAAGAAAUUUUGAAUUUAAAAUGAGAACAGUGAAAAAUCAUGAUUGUUGAUUUUUGAAGGUAAAUCUUUAAUUCUGAGGAACGUCUAUGCAUGCCAACAUCUGCAACAUUAAUAAUGAGAGUAGCAAUAUAUACUUAAGCUUUAGAAUUUAUUAUUACAACAAGGUAACUUAAAAUUUGUUUAUCACAGGCCAUCGCUUUGCACUGUGAUACAUUAUUGAUAUAUACAUGUUUAUUGAAUUUUGAGUUGUCUGAAUUUCUGAAACAACAUUUGAAUAUAACAAAUAAUUUUCUUCAUUUCAGUUCCUUACAUAUGAAAAAAUUACCAUUUUUUGCCUGUUUCCAAAUAUGUGCAAGAAGUAUACAGGGAUUGAAAGCUGAGAAAGAGACAAAAAUUCCUUUUCAAUGUUACAUAUUAUAUAUAGUUAUGUAUGACAGUGAGGCUAUCAACAGUGCAAUAAUGAUAAACAUGUGAAGUGUUUGCUAAUAAAACAUGAUAAA